UUCACCCCCACCCAGACGUGGCGCGGCCGGACAAGAUCUCGGGGGCCGACAUCAACUCCAUCUGCCAGGAGGGCGGCAUGCUGGCGGUGCGGGAGAACCGGUACAUCGUGCUGGCCAAGGACUUUGAGAAGGCCUACAAGACCGUCAUCAAGAAGGACGAGCAGGAGCAUGAGUUCUACAAGUGACAGCUCGGGGACGUUGGGGACAUCCCGGUGUCCCCCCCAAUAAACCUCAACCCACCCCCAGC